rnacentral:rRNA from 1 species
ACGGAAGGCAGCAGUGAGGAAUAUUGGUCAAUGGGCGGAAGCCUGAACCAGCCAAGUCGCGUGAAGGAAGAAGGUAUUAUGUAUUGUAAACUUCUUUAGGCGCAGGGAGAUAAGCGGGACGCGUCCCGCGAUGCUAGUAUGCGCAGAAUAAGGAUCGGCUAACUCCGUGCCAGCAGCCGCGGUAAUACGGAGGAUCCGAGCGUUAUCCGGAUUUAUUGGGUUUAAAGGGUGCGCAGGCGGCGUGCUAAGUCAGCGGUGAAAUGUCGGGGCUCAACCCGGGCACUGCCGUUGAAACUGGGGGGCUUGAGUACGGAUGAGGUCGGCGGAAUGUGACGUGUAGCGGUGAAAUGCAUAGAUAUGUCACAGAACACCGAUUGCGAAGGCAGCCGGCCAAUCCGCAACUGACGCUCAUGCACGAAAGCGUGGGGAUCGAACAGGAUUAGAUACCCUGGUA